AGUUUAUUGAUUCGAAUCCUGUGUUUUGUAGACUCUUUUCUUUUCUCCUUUUUUGGCAGCAAUUUUCCGCAUUUUCUUGGACAUGGUUUAUCAUGUGGGCUGAUAUACAUAAUUGUAUCAAUUAUCGGGUCCUUGAUAUUCAUCAAGAUGCCCAUUAAUGGAUUAAUAUCAGUGAAUAGUCCACACUGGAUGGGGUACAGUCAUGCAUAGCAAAUUUUGGAAGAGUUAUAUGUUCGAUUUCUUUUGCCUCAGCAAUGUAUGAUAUACCAUUGGCAAGUGAUGACUUGACAAUAGAUGAUUGAAACACUUAUUAUUGUGCUGACUUUUGAAACUAAUUGUAAUUUUGAGCAGCCAUUGGAAAAAUAAAUUCAACGCUGUCUGAUUUUUAUAGUAUUUUGCAGCAUGCAUGUAUAGAUUUAAGUUGUUCAGAGAUAAGAUUGCAACUGCAAGACCAAAAUUUGUUUUCUUAAGUUCUCAAUGCAGCUGAUGAAUGACAGAUGAUUUACUCGCUCCUUUAUUUUAGAUUUCUUUUAUUUUGGACAACUGUAAAUGCUCAAGUUGCUUCCUGAAAGCUUUGAAUAUCAUGGCAUGAUAAUAUAUAGUGAAGCAAUUAAAAAAAAUUCUUAGAUUAUUUAGAUUGGUUAAUUGUAAAAAAUGCUUUAUAGAAACACUUAAUUCUUUAUUUUUUUUUAAAGAAUAUAUUUCUGAUUUUGACUUUCUAUGCCAAAUGAAUAAAGAUGUAAAUUAUUUGUGUACUACCUAAACAUAAGAGAUGUGCCAGAUGGAAAAUCUUAAACAAAACAUAGGAAAAGUCACUGUACAUUAAAAUGUGUCAACAAUAAAUUUUUUUUUACCCCAUCACCUAUGUUUUAAACAUAUUGUUCAUUGUAAAUAAAGCUGUACUGAUGUUGUAGAUAUAAAUAUCUCCAGUACAUAUACACAGUUGAAGUCUGCCAGUAUGAAUGCAAUUAAGAAACAUUUGUUGCAAUUAU
rnacentral:sRNA from 1 species